AACGAACGCUGGCGGCAUGCCUAACACAUGCAAGUCGAACGAGACCUUCGGGUCUAGUGGCGCACGGGUGCGUAACGCGUGGGAACCUGCCCUUAGGUUCGGAAUAACUCCCCGAAAGGGGUGCUAAUACCGGAUAAUGUCUUCGGACCAAAGAUUUAUCGCCUUUGGAUGGGCCCGCGUUGGAUUAGCUAGUUGGUAGGGUAAAAGCCUACCAGGGCGACGAUCCAUAGCUGGUCUGAGAGGAUGAUCAGCCACACUGGGACUAAGACACGGCCCAGACUCCUACGGGAGGAAGCAGUGGGGAAUAUUGGACGAUGGGCGAAAGCCUGAUCCAGCUAUGCCGCGUGAGUGAUGAAGGCCUUAGGGUUGUAAAGCUCUUUUACCCGGGAUGAUAAUGACAGUACCGGGAGAAUAAGCUCCGGCUAACUCCGUG
rnacentral:rRNA from 1 species